AGUGAACGCUGGCGGUAGGCCUAACACAUGCAAGUCGAACGGCAGCACAGUAGGAGCUUGCUCUUACGGGUGGCGAGUGGCGGACGGGUGAGGAAUACAUCGGAAUCUACUUUUUCGUGGGGGAUAACGUAGGGAAACUUACGCUAAUACCGCAUACGACCUACGGGUGAAAGCAGGGGAUCUUCGGACCUUGCGCGAUUGAAUGAGCCGAUGUCGGAUUAGCUAGUUGGCGGGGUAAAGGCCCACCAAGGCGACGAUCCGUAGCUGGUCUGAGAGGAUGGUCGGACGCGCUAGAAGUGGAACAAGGUACAGACUACGAAGGUAGGGAGCAGUCGGGAAUCGUGGGCAAAGGGGGGCAGCGUGAUGGAACCCCGGAGCGUGGGAGAAGAAGAGCUUCGGGUUGUUACACCGUUUUUUUAGGGAAAAACAAAAGGAGAAUACCACCUAACUGGCUUGACGGUACCGAAUAAAGAAGAACCGGCUAACUACGUG
rnacentral:rRNA from 1 species